UGAGGUGGAAGGAGAAGUGGGCGACAGGAUGAGAUGGUUGGAUGGCAUCACCAACUCAGUGGACUUGACUUUGAGCAAACUCUGGAAGAUAGUGAAGGGCAGGGAAGCCUGGCGUGCUGCAGUCCAUGGGGUCAAAAAGAGUCAGACACAACUUAGUGACUGAAUGACAACAACAACAUAAAGAGAGCCAGUGAAAUUGGAUCCGUGUGCAGAGUUUGGAAAGAGAAGAGCCUCUCACUUCUUCUCCACCUCUCUUCAACAGAAGUUAGUGGACAAAGGACCUCCCUUCCUCUGGAUGACAUCCUGUUAAGACGUGAGAUGAGGAAACCGGGAUGAGAUUCCAUUUUGCCCAAAGACAUCCAGCCAGAAAUUAGAGGAGCUGGAGCUUGGACCCAGGUCUGACUCCAGGAAAAAUUCUCCCCUGGAGGGGUGGCUCAGAAACCAUUCUAAACACAGCAAGUAAAACAACCUGCCAUUAUUCUCUGCAACAACCCACGAAGCUGGCAUAGCAGCGUUCACCCCAGAGAUGAGGAAACUGAGACACAAAGCGGUUGGGUAAUUUCUCAGCUGGGGCCCUGGAGGAGCUCCUGGAGAAGGAGGAAGAGGAAAUCAAGAUGAGAAGUCUCUGACUUUGCCUGGGGCAAUGGAGAAAGAGGAUGACGGUUGUCUCCACGCUUUUCCCAUUUCCUGAGCACCUAAUACACGCCAGCCUCCCUGCCGCAUGCAUGCCUGCUUCCAGGGGAAGAUAUCCAGGGAGGCUGAUGCUUUAAGCCCCUCCCUUGUGCAGACCCCUCUAAUGGUCCUGGGUAACAGGUGCCAUCAAUUCAUUACACAAGACGCUUUGAAGUGCCCUGAGCACCUCUAUAAGAGACACAUGAUAUUUUCCACAUUUGACAACAACCCCGAAGAAGUGCCUAACAUUACAAAUAAUGAAUUGUAAGGCUGAAUCAAAGACUGAUUUAUCU
ensembl:lncRNA